rnacentral:rRNA from 1 species
UGUGAGGAUGCCCUUAAUCCCCUGCCCGGGGACGAGGAGCCGGCAUCAGGCACGCCCAAGCAGCCCAAGACGCCUUGCUAAGCCACACCCCCAAGGAAACCCAGCAGUGAUAAAUAUUAAGCCAUAAGCGAAAGCUUGACUUAGUUAAAGUUAAGAGGGCCGGUAAAACUCGUGCCAGCCACCGCGGUUAUACGAGAGGCCCUAGUUGAUAACUACCGGCGUAAAGAGUGGUUACGGAAAAUAUUUAAUAAAGCCGAACACCCCCUCAGCCGUCAUACGCACCUGGGGGCACGAAGAUCUACUACGAAAGCAGCUUUAAUUAUACCUGAACCCACGACAGCUACGACACAAACUGGGAUUAGAUACCCCACUAUGCCUAGCCGUAAACUUUGAUGGAAACAUACAACUGACAUCCGCCAGGGGACUAUAAGCGCCAGCUUAAAACCCAAAGGACUUGGCGGUGCCUCAGACCCACCUAGAGGAGCCUGUUCUAGAACCGAUAACCCCCGUUCAACCUCACCACCUCUUGUUUUCCCCGCCUAUAUACCACCGUCGUCAGCUUACCCUGUGAAGGCCUUAUAGUAAGCAAAAUGGGCAAAACCCAAAACGUCAGGUCGAGGUGUAGCGCAUGGGGUGGGAAGAAAUGGGCUACAUUCUCUAAAUUAGAGCACU